CUACUGUCUCCUCAUUCUGUUUUCUUUUAAAAUACAAAUGCAUCAUUUUGUGAUGUAAUAUCAGUUCUCUUAACAUUAAUUUAUAUUCUCACUCGACAGACAAACAACAGAUGAUGAACAAGAACCAGCUGUUUCAGGAUAUCAUACGAUGCCCCGUAUUGUAGAUGGAAGUGUACGGUCCACCUUCAAUGGGAAGGAUAUGAUUGAAAACGGCCUACAAAAUAAAGCAGUAAAAAAUGGUAUGUGCUGCUUUGAUUUAAUUGUCUUUUAACCAAGUGUUGGUUUGUCCUGUCCGCAGCUAAUGUUUACAAAAUCUCACUGCAUUUACACAUGCUGGCUUUUCUUUACUUCUGUGGUGCGGAUGUGUCCUUAACACACACCUUUUAAGAAAAUAAAAACAAAAAUAGAGAACUAAAAAUAGAGAACAUAACUAAUGAAAUAUUAGAAAAAGUUUUCAUAAACUGCACAAAUAACCAAACUACUUAAAACUAUUUUUAAAAAUUGUUCCACUAAAUGUAAUACCUUUGUUACCAAUGAAGAAGCUCUCCUC